AUGCAUACCAUCACCACUGCCGAGCUCCUGCUCAUAUGCAUCCUAGCUGCCGCCAAUUUGCUAUGGUCAGUCGAUGGUUCUGCCAGUUCAAGCUGCAUACCGCGGGAGCAGGAUGCCCUGCUGUCCUUCAAGCGCGGCAUCAACAGCGACCCCAUGGGUGUCGUUGACUCUUGGCACAAGGAAGACUGCUGUCAGUGGAGCGGCGUCAAGUGCAGCAACCGGACUGGCCAUGUUCUUAGGCUUCAUCUUCGUCGUCUGGAUGUGUACACACUCAAUGGGUACUACCAAGACGACACAGCUUUGGUUGGCCAGAUAAGUAAUUCUUUACUCUCCAUGGAUCGUCUAGUGCACCUUGAUCUUAGCAUGAAUUGCCUCGAGGGCCCAAGCGGCCACUGUUACAGCGCUGCUAGAAGGAGAGCGCGAGAGGGCCGGUCGGGGGCCUUUUUGCCCACGGCCGGGCAGGAGGGAAGGGAUUUCUUUCUUAAUUCUUGCUUGAUUAAAUUGAUACAUCUCAUCUCUUUAUAUAUAAGCGUUGUUUGGAUAGCGGAGAUUAGCAAUAGGAUUAUAGAAAAUGGGUUUUUAGCCGAUUUCUAG
rnacentral:rRNA from 1 species